rnacentral:rRNA from 1 species
AAAUUGAAGAGUUUGAUCAUGGCUCAGAUUGAACGCUGGCGGCAGGCCUAACACAUGCAAGUCGAACGGUAACAGGAAGCAGCUUGCUGUUUUGCUGACGAGUGGCGGACGGGUGAGUAAUGUCUGGGAAACUGCCUGAUGGAGGGGGAUAACUACUGGAAACGGUGGCUAAUACCGCAUAACGUCGCAAGACCAAAGAGGGGGACCUUCGGGCCUCUUGCCAUCAGAUGUGCCCAGAUGGGAUUAGCUUGUUGGUGAGGUAACGGCUCACCAAGGCGACGAUCCCUAGCUGGUCUGAGAGGAUGACCAGCCACACUGGAACUGAGACACGGUCCAGACUCCUACGGGAGGCAGCAGUGGGGAAUAUUGCACAAUGGGCGCAAGCCUGAUGCAGCCAUGCCGCGUGUAUGAAGAAGGCCUUCGGGUUGUAAAGUACUUUCAGCGGGGAGGAAGGUGUUGUGGUUAAUAACCGCAGCAAUUGACGUUACCCGCAGAAGAAGCACCGGCUAACUCCGUGCCAGCAGCCGCGGUAAUACGGAGGGUGCAAGCGUUAAUCGGAAUUACUGGGCGUAAAGCGCACGCAGGCGGUCUGUCAAGUCGGAUGUGAAAUCCCCGGGCUCAACCUGGGAACUGCAUUCGAAACUGGCAGGCUUGAGUCUUGUAGAGGGGGGUAGAAUUCCAGGUGUAGCGGUGAAAUGCGUAGAGAUCUGGAGGAAUACCGGUGGCGAAGGCGGCCCCCUGGACAAAGACUGACGCUCAGGUGCGAAAGCGUGGGGAGCAAACAGGAUUAGAUACCCUGGUAGUCCACGCCGUAAACGAUGUCUACUUGGAGGUUGUGCCCUUGAGGCGUGGCUUCCGGAGCUAACGCGUUAAGUAGACCGCCUGGGGAGUACGGCCGCAAGGUUAAAACUCAAAUGAAUUGACGGGGGCCCGCACAAGCGGUGGAGCAUGUGGUUUAAUUCGAUGCAACGCGAAGAACCUUACCUGGUCUUGACAUCCACGGAAGUUUUCAGAGAUGAGAAUGUGCCUUCGGGAACCGUGAGACA